rnacentral:snoRNA from 1 species
UGCCAUAAUGAUGACAUUUUUAUUUGCUACUCUUGACUGUGAGGAUGACGAGAAUCAUUUACCACCAUUAUUCCAACUGAGGCA